GAGAAUAGCUCUCUAUCCCAUUAACUAGGGUAACACUGUUGUUUGUUAACAUAGAUGCUUGUUGCUUAGGAUAGAUUAAUCAGGAUCAGCUAUCUUUAUUAUUAUUUUUCAUACAGAAUUUCUAUAUGAUAAGCACAGUUUACAUUAGCAGGCUGAGGCUGAUCUUUCCCAUCUAAUGAGCUCUAUGACUUCUUUAAUAUAGAGAUUGAUAAUUCAUUGAAGUAUAUACCUUGUGUUUGGCAUUAUGUUCUUAAAGUCAAUCCCUAGGAAAUAGGUGGUAUAAUAAUUAGUAUCAUCUUAUUACUUGUUCAAGUUUGCAUCCCUAGUAAAUGAGUGAAUGGAAUUCAAGCCUAAUUCUGUCUGGCUUUUUUACUGGAGUGCUCUGCCUCAUUACAUGAAACUACAAUAAAGAGUUUGUAGUUAUCCUAGCCUUUUAUAAUGAGUUCAGAGCUUGAUAAGUUUUGUUAAUUUAUUAUCCAUGUCUAAUUCAUUUCUUCUCAUUUUAGACACAAUUGCAAAUAAAUUACAUUUGCAAAAAGUUAAUGACUUUAAUUUAUCACCUGGAACCCAACCUUAUAAGGUAAUUCUUGCUUUUAUUUAUUUUUAUUUAUAUAGCACAUGUGUUUUUUCUGUUUUUAAAAAGAAUG
rnacentral:lncRNA from 1 species